UGACGCCCGCCCCACGACCCGCAGCGCCCGACCGAAAGGAGCGCACGACCCCAUGAGCUUCGAUCCAGACAUGAUAAGAUACAUUGAUGAGUUUGGACAAACCACAACUAGAAUGCAGUGAAAAAAAUGCUUUAUUUGUGAAAUUUGUGAUGCUAUUGCUUUAUUUGUAACCAUUAUAAGCUGCAAUAAACAAGUUAACAACAACAAUUGCAUUCAUUUUAUGUUUCAGGUUCAGGGGGAGGUGUGGGAGGUUUUUUAAAGCAAGUAAAACCUCUACAAAUGUGGUAUGGCUGAUUAUGAUCCUGCCUCGCGCGUUUCGGUGAUGACGGUGAAAACCUCUGACACAUGCAGCUCCCGGAGACGGUCACAGCUUGUCUGUAAGCGGAUGCCGGGAGCAGACAAGCCCGUCAGGGCGCGUCAGCGGGUGUUGGCGGGUGUCGGGGCGCAGCCAUGACCCAGUCACGUAGCGAUAGCGGAGUGUAUACUGGCUUAACUAUGCGGCAUCAGAGCAGAUUGUACUGAGAGUGCACCAUAUGUCGGGCCGCGUUGCUGGCGUUUUUCCAUAGGCUCCGCCCCCCUGACGAGCAUCACAAAAAUCGACGCUCAAGUCAGAGGUGGCGAAACCCGACAGGACUAUAAAGAUACCAGGCGUUUCCCCCUGGAAGCUCCCUCGUGCGCUCUCCUGUUCCGACCCUGCCGCUUACCGGAUACCUGUCCGCCUUUCUCCCUUCGGGAAGCGUGGCGCUUUCUCAUAGCUCACGCUGUAGGUAUCUCAGUUCGGUGUAGGUCGUUCGCUCCAAGCUGGGCUGUGUGCACGAACCCCCCGUUCAGCCCGACCGCUGCGCCUUAUCCGGUAACUAUCGUCUUGAGUCCAACCCGGUAAGACACGACUUAUCGCCACUGGCAGCAGCCACUGGUAACAGGAUUAGCAGAGCGAGGUAUGUAGGCGGUGCUACAGAGUUCUUGAAGUGGUGGCCUAACUACGGCUACACUAGAAGGACAGUAUUUGGUAUCUGCGCUCUGCUGAAGCCAGUUACCUUCGGAAAAAGAGUUGGUAGCUCUUGAUCCGGCAAACAAACCACCGCUGGUAGCGGUGGUUUUUUUGUUUGCAAGCAGCAGAUUACGCGCAGAAAAAAAGGAUCUCAAGAAGAUCCUUUGAUCUUUUCUACGGGGUCUGACGCUCAGUGGAACGAAAACUCACGUUAAGGGAUUUUGGUCAUGAGAUUAUCAAAAAGGAUCUUCACCUAGAUCCUUUUAAAUUAAAAAUGAAGUUUUAAAUCAAUCUAAAGUAUAUAUGAGUAAACUUGGUCUGACAGUUACCAAUGCUUAAUCAGUGAGGCACCUAUCUCAGCGAUCUGUCUAUUUCGUUCAUCCAUAGUUGCCUGACUCCCCGUCGUGUAGAUAACUACGAUACGGGAGGGCUUACCAUCUGGCCCCAGUGCUGCAAUGAUACCGCGAGACCCACGCUCACCGGCUCCAGAUUUAUCAGCAAUAAACCAGCCAGCCGGAAGGGCCGAGCGCAGAAGUGGUCCUGCAACUUUAUCCGCCUCCAUCCAGUCUAUUAAUUGUUGCCGGGAAGCUAGAGUAAGUAGUUCGCCAGUUAAUAGUGCGCAACGUUGUUGCCAUUGCUACAGGCAUCGUGGUGUCACGCUCGUCGUUUGGUAUGGCUUCAUUCAGCUCCGGUUCCCAACGAUCAAGGCGAGUUACAUGAUCCCCCAUGUUGUGCAAAAAAGCGGUUAGCUCCUUCGGUCCUCCGAUCGUUGUCAGAAGUAAGUUGGCCGCAGUGUUAUCACUCAUGGUUAUGGCAGCACUGCAUAAUUCUCUUACUGUCAUGCCAUCCGUAAGAUGCUUUUCUGUGACUGGUGAGUACUCAACCAAGUCAUUCUGAGAAUAGUGUAUGCGGCGACCGAGUUGCUCUUGCCCGGCGUCAACACGGGAUAAUACCGCGCCACAUAGCAGAACUUUAAAAGUGCUCAUCAUUGGAAAACGUUCUUCGGGGCGAAAACUCUCAAGGAUCUUACCGCUGUUGAGAUCCAGUUCGAUGUAACCCACUCGUGCACCCAACUGAUCUUCAGCAUCUUUUACUUUCACCAGCGUUUCUGGGUGAGCAAAAACAGGAAGGCAAAAUGCCGCAAAAAAGGGAAUAAGGGCGACACGGAAAUGUUGAAUACUCAUACUCUUCCUUUUUCAAUAUUAUUGAAGCAUUUAUCAGGGUUAUUGUCUCAUGAGCGGAUACAUAUUUGAAUGUAUUUAGAAAAAUAAACAAAUAGGGGUUCCGCGCACAUUUCCCCGAAAAGUGCCACCUGACGUCUAAGAAACCAUUAUUAUCAUGACAUUAACCUAUAAAAAUAGGCGUAUCACGAGGCCCUUUCGUCUUCAAGAAUUGGUCGAUCGACCAAUUCUCAUGUUUGACAGCUUAUCA
rnacentral:misc_RNA from 1 species